rnacentral:lncRNA from 1 species
GGAGGGCAGGGCUCAGAGCUGAAAGACACACCUCCUUGGCAGGCUUGGGUCAGAAAAGAAGACAUCCAGCAGCACCAGCCUACAAAUAAGGACUGAAAACCAUGAUCUCCCAGGAUCCCUGUUUCUCUGUUUUUCCACUUUUAAUCUCUCUCCCUCUCACUUUUUUCAGCUCCUCAGGGUCAGAUGCUUUGUUCCAUCUAUUCCUCCCUGUCCCAGAAAACAGACCCUGGCUUUUCUGCUGCUUUCAGAUUACUUUGCUGGAAGAACUUGGUGUGAAAGGUUUUCUCCCUGCUCGGAGGUAAAUGGAAGCCUAGUCCUGUCUUUGAGCUGUGCCUGGGAACAUUCCGGUCCUGCCCCCAGGCCCAUGGAAGAUAAAUGUCCUGCAAAGGUGGGGCUGGUGUCUUUGUUCACUUUGUGGCUUAAACAGCAGGCGUUUAUGAUCUCUCAGUUCUGGAGGCUGCCAACCUGA